rnacentral:rRNA from 1 species
CGCGUAGGCGGUUUGGUAAGUCGGAUGUGAAAGCCCCGGGCUUAACCUGGGAAUUGCAUUCGAUACUGCUUGACUGGAGUGUGGUAGAGGGAAGCGGAAUUCCGGGUGUAGCGGUGAAAUGCGUAGAGAUCCGGAGGAACAUCAGUGGCGAAGGCGGCUUCCUGGACCAACACUGACGCUGAGGUGCGAAAGCGUGGGGAGCAAACA